GACGAACGCUGGCGGCGUGCCUAAUACAUGCAAGUCGAACGCAGUGGGGACGGGUGAGUAACACGUGGGUAACCUCCCAUCAGAGGGGAUAACACUUGGAAACAGGUGCUAAACCGAUAUUGAUGGAUGGACCGGCGGUGCAUUAGCUAGUUGGUGAGGUAACGGCUCACCUAGGCGACGAUCUCUAGCUGGCCUGAGAGGAUGAUCAGCCACCAUGGAAAGGAGACACGGCCCAGACUCCUACGGGAGGCAGCAGUGGGGAAUAUUGCACAAUGGGCGCAAGCCUGAUGCAGCCAUGCCGCGUGUAUGAAGAAGGCCUUAGGGUUGUAAAGUACUUUCAGCGGGGAGGCGUUACCCGCAGAAGAAGCACCGGCUAACUCCGUGCCAGCCGCCGCGGUAAUAC
rnacentral:rRNA from 1 species